UCCAGACUCCUACGGGAGGCAGCAGUCGGGAAUAUUGCGCAAUGGCGGAAACUCUGACGCAGUGACGCCGCGUGCAGGAAGAAGGUUUUCGGAUUGUAAACUUCUUUAGACAGGGAAGAUAAUGACAGUACCUGUAGAAUAAGCUCCGGCUAACUACGUGCCAGCAGCCGCGGUAAUACGUAGGGAGCAAGCGUUAUCCGGAUUUAUUGGGUGUAAAGGGUGCGUAGACGGGAAGGCAAGUUAGUUGUGAAAUCCCUCGGCUUAACUGAGGAACUGCAACUAAAACUAUCUUUCUUGAGUGCUGGAGAGGAAAGUGGAAUUCCUAGUGUAGCGGUGAAAUGCGUAGAUAUUAGGAGGAACACCAGUGGCGAAGGCGGCUUUCUGGACAGUAACUGACGUUGAGGCACGAAAGUGUGGGGAGCAAACAGGAUUAGAUACCCCGGUAGA
rnacentral:rRNA from 1 species